rnacentral:rRNA from 1 species
CACGGAAUUAGCCGGUCCUUAUUCCAAGGCUACAUGCAACAGGGCACGCGUGCCCCUCUUUAUUCCCCUUAAAAAGCAGUUUACAACCCAUAGGGCCGUCGUCCUGCACGCUACUUGGCUGGUUCAGGCUCUCGCCCAUUGACCAAUAUUCCUCACUGCUGCCUCCCGUAGGAGUUUGGACCGUGUCUCAGUUCCAAUGUGGGGGACCUUCCUCUCAGAACCCCUACUGAUCGAUGCCCUGGUGGGCCGUUACCCCGCCAGCAAGCUAAUCAGACGCAUCCCCAUCCAUAACCGAUAAAUCUUUACUCUUAUUCCCAUGACAGGCAUAAGAGACCAUAAGGGAUUAGGCCGCAUUUCUACGGGGUAUUCCUUAGUUAUGGGAAGGUUGGAUACGCGUUACUCACCCGUGCGCCGGUCGACGACAAAGAAUAGCAAGCUAUUCUCCCGUUUCCCCUCGACUUGCAUGUGUUAAGCCUUGUAGCUAGCGUUCAUCCUGAGCCAGGAUCAAAACUCU